UGCCUAAUACAUGCAAGUCGAGCGGACCGACGGGAGCUUGCUCCCUUAGGUCAGCGGCGGACGGGUGAGUAACACGUGGGUAACCUGCCUGUAAGACUGGGAUAACUCCGGGAAACCGGGGCUAAUACCGGAUGCUUGAUUGAACCGCAUGGUUCAAUCAUAAAAGGUGGCUUUCAGCUACCACUUACAGAUGGACCCGCGGCGCAUUAGCUAGUUGGUGAGGUAACGGCUCACCAAGGCGACGAUGCGUAGCCGACCUGAGAGGGUGAUCGGCCACACUGGGACUGAGACACGGCCCAGACUCCUACGGGAGGCAGCAGUAGGGAAUCUUCCGCAAUGGACGAAAGUCUGACGGAGCAACGCCGCGUGAGUGAUGAAGGUUUUCGGAUCGUAAAACUCUGUUGUUAGGGAAGAACAAGUACCGUUCGAAUAGGGCGGCACCUUGACGGUACCUAACCAGAAAGCCACGGCUAACUACGUGCCAGCAGCCGCGGUAAUACGUAGGUGGCAAGCGUGGUCCGGAAUUAUUGGGCGUAAAGCGCGCGCAGGCGGUUUCUUAAGUCUGAUGUGAAAGCCCCCGGCUCAACCGGGGAGGGUCAUUGGAAACUGGGGAACUUGAGUGCAGAAGAGGAGAGUGGAAUUCCACGUGUAGCGGUGAAAUGCGUAGACAUGUGGAGGAACACCAGUGGCGAAGGCGACUCUCUGGUCU
rnacentral:rRNA from 1 species